AUUGAACGCUGGCGGCAGGCCUAACACAUGCAAGUCGAAUGGUAACAGGAAACAGCUUGCUGUUUCGCUGACGGGUGGCGGACGGGUGAGUAAUGUCUGGGAAACUGCCUGAUGGAGGGGGAUAACUACUGGAAACGGUAGCUAAUACCGCAUAACGUCGCAAGACCAAAGAGGGGGACCUUCGGGCCUCUUUCCAUCAGAUGUGCCCAGAUGGGAUUAGCUAGUAGGUGGGGUAACGGCUCACCUAGGCGACGAUCCCUAGCUGGUCUGAGAGGUUGACCAGCCACACUGGAACUGAGACACGGUCCAGACUCCUACGGGAGGCAGCAGUGGGGAAUAUUGCACAAUGGGCGCAAGCCUGAUGCAGCCAUGCCGCGUGUAUGAAGAAGGCCUUCGGGUUGUAAAGUACUUUCAGCGGGGAGGAAGGGAGUAAAGUUAAUACCUUUGCUCAUUGACGUUACCCGCAGAAGAAGCACCGGCUAACUCCGUG
rnacentral:rRNA from 1 species